rnacentral:lncRNA from 10 species
CAAGAAGCACUCCUAUCAAAUAUUGAAAAAGCACUUACUAUAUUUUAGGGACUCCUCUGAAGGAUGGUUUUAACACAUCUAGAAAGAACUAGGAGAAGGAGGAGGAAGGGGAGGAGAAAGACGAAGAGAUGGAGGAAAACUGAAAAUGGUUGCCUUGCUCUUCCUGCUUCCACCUCAAACCCUAAAAUGACAGUUCUACAGAUGAGAACAUACCAGGGAAGCUGAGAGAAUCCACAAACCCUUUGAAGGAAGUGGCUUGCUGCUGCAGAGUGGGACAGCAGAGGAACUGGGACAUGCAGAAUGGAAGAGAUAAACGCUUGCUGACCAUCAGGAAAUGGACAUAAUGGGAAAAUUUGCACACGAAGACGCUGUGUAGACGAAGAUGAUGUGAGGACACAGGAAGAAGAUGGCCCUGAAGCCAUGGAGAAAAGAAGUCUGGAAGAGACUUCCCUCACAGCCCUCAGAGGGAGUCAACCCUGUCAACACCGUGAUUUCAAACUUCUAGUCUACGGAAGUGUGAGACAAUACAUUUCUUUUGUUUAAGCCGCUGAUUUUGUAGUACUUUGUUAUGGUAGCCCUAGUGAACGGAUACAAUUAUGUUUGUUUGUUUUUUUAAAAAUUGCUUUCUGUUUGUGCCAUAUGUAGAAUUCUCAUUUUCAACUUCAACUGUUUUGGACUGGUGAAUAAAUUUUAACUUGUCAUAGCAAUUUUCACCCAAAGCACAAUUUAUAAAGCAUGUAUUGCCAGGUACACAAGAGGUAUUUAAUUUUUCUUUAGAUGUAUUUUUAAAAGGCUUUACAUACUCCUGCAGGAUUGCCAUGAACAUAAAUAAUGCCUGUAAUUGUCUGACACAUAGAAAUGCUCUAUAAAUAUUACGUAAUAUUAUUUUUAAACGUGCUGUCCACAACAGUCUUCUGAGUGUUGUAUGUGGUAAAAGAGACUUUAGAGCAACAGGCUGUAAGACAGAGGAGCCAAAAGAGAGGCUUACAUAUUCCUCAAGCUGUCCACUCUCCUAAAAAUACAAUGUAUCUUGAAUAAUUUAUCUGAAUAAAAACAACACGUGGCUUAAGAAAAGGUUUUGGGUAAUAACUUGUUGAUGUAAAAGACACAUACAGUGGAAAAUAUUCACAAAGCACUAACGUACAAUCUGUGAUUCAGGUCUGUUUCCCUGCCCGCCCCCUGCCCCCAAACCCCCAGUUCUUCUAAAGGAGCACUAGGCUUAUAACCUCUAAUCUUGUGUGAAGCCUUGCUCUCCAGAGUUUCUGUUUACUUCCAUUAUUCCAUGUAGAGCCAUAUAUCUACGGAUUUUAUGCCUACUUGGACACCAGAUAUUCUUGCCUCUCC